rnacentral:rRNA from 1 species
AGCGAACGCUGGCGGCAGGCUUAACACAUGCAAGUCGAACGGGCAUCUUCGGAUGUCAGUGGCAGACGGGUGAGUAACACGUGGGAACGUACCCUUCGGUUCGGAAUAACUCAGGGAAACUUGAGCUAAUACCGGAUACGCCCUUUUGGGGAAAGGUUUACUGCCGAAGGAUCGGCCCGCGUCUGAUUAGCUUGUUGGUGGGGUAACGGCCUACCAAGGCGACGAUCAGUAGCUGGUCUGAGAGGAUGAUCAGCCACACUGGGACUGAGACACGGCCCAGACUCCUACGGGAAGCAGCAGUGGGGAAUAUUGGACAAUGGGCGCAAGCCUGAUCCAGCCAUGCCGCGUGAGUGAUGAAGGCCUUAGGGUUGUAAAGCUCUUUUGUCCGGGACAAUAAUGACGGUACCGGAAGAAUAAGCCCCGGCUAACUUCGUG